rnacentral:rRNA from 1 species
GAGAGUUUGAUCCUGGCUCAGGAUGAACGCUAGCUACAGGCUUAACACAUGCAAGUCGAGGGGCAGCAUGAACUUAGCUUGCUAAGUUUGAUGGCGACCGGCGCACGGGUGAGUAACACGUAUCCAACCUGCCGAUGACUCGGGGAUAGCCUUUCGAAAGAAAGAUUAAUACCCGAUGGCAUAGUUCUUCCGCAUGGUAGAACUAUUAAAGAAUUUCGGUCAUCGAUGGGGAUGCGUUCCAUUAGGUUGUUGGCGGGGUAACGGCCCACCAAGCCUUCGAUGGAUAGGGGUUCUGAGAGGAAGGUCCCCCACAUUGGAACUGAGACACGGUCCAAACUCCUACGGGAGGCAGCAGUGAGGAAUAUUGGUCAAUGGACGAGAGUCUGAACCAGCCAAGUAGCGUGAAGGAUGACUGCCCUAUGGGUUGUAAACUUCUUUUAUACGGGAAUAAAGUGAGGCACGUGUGCCUUUUUGUAUGUACCGUAUGAAUAAGGAUCGGCUAACUCCGUGCCAGCAGCCGCGGUAAUACGGAGGAUCCGAGCGUUAUCCGGAUUUAUUGGGUUUAAAGGGAGCGUAGGCGGACGCUUAAGUCAGUUGUGAAAGUUUGCGGCUUAACCGUAAAAUUGCAGUUGAUACUGGGUGUCUUGAGUACAGUAGAGGCAGGCGGAAUUCGUGGUGUAGCGGUGAAAUGCUUAGAUAUCACGAAGAACUCCGAUUGCGAAGGCAGCCUGCUGGACUGUAACUGACGCUGAUGCUCGAAGGUGUGGGUAUCAAACAGGAUUAGAUACCCUGGUAGUCCACACAGUAAACGAUGAAUACUCGUUGUUUGCGAUAUACAGUAAGCGGCCAAGCGAAAGCGUUAAGUAUUCCACCUGGGGAGUACGCCGGCAACGGUGAAACUCAAAGGAAUUGACGGGGGCCCGCACAAGCGGAGGAACAUGUGGUUUAAUUCGAUGAUACGCGAGGAACCUUACCCGGGCUUGAAUUGCAACUGAAUGAUGUGGAGACAUGUCAGCCGCAAGGCAGUUGUGAAGGUGCUGCAUGGUUGUCGUCAGCUCGUGCCGUGAGGUGUCGGCUUAAGUGCCAUAACGAGCGCAACCCUUAUCGAUAGUUACCAUCAGGUGAUGCUGGGGACUCUGUCGAGACUGCCGUCGUAAGAUGUGAGGAAGGUGGGGAUGACGUCAAAUCAGCACGGCCCUUACGUCCGGGGCUACACACGUGUUACAAUGGGGGGUACAGAAGGCAGCUACACGGCGACGUGAUGCUAAUCCCGAAAGCCUCUCUCAGUUCGGAUUGGAGUCUGCAACCCGACUCCAUGAAGCUGGAUUCGCUAGUAAUCGCGCAUCAGCCACGGCGCGGUGAAUACGUUCCCGGGCCUUGUACACACCGCCCGUCAAGCCAUGAAAGCCGGGGGUACCUGAAGUGCGUAACCGCAAGGAGCGCCCUAGGGUAAAACUGGUGAUUGGGGCUAAGUCGUAACAAGGUAGCCG